AGACCAGGCUCCAACCCUGGCCCUACUUCCUGCCCAGAAUUCUUUACUUCUUUAGGGGCUUUUUUAUAAGGUGGAAAUAGCCCUUAUACCUGCAUUAUGGCUUAUUGUGAAUAUUAAAUAAGACCAUGUGGGUCCAAAGUGCUUGGUAAAUGAUAAAAGCUUGUACCGGUGGGUGGUUCCCAAUGCAAUUCUUUUUAUCCAGCCGCCUUCUGGAGCAGAUUAUUGGACUAGUAUGUGCUGUGGGUUUUGCCUCGAGACUUCCCUUGGAGAGCCGUGUUUAUCUAUUUUAAGGAGACCCUAGAGGUAGCAGGCUGCUGCAGAAAAGCAAAUGGAAUAUGGAUUUACCAGAAAGAGGAGGGCUGGCUGGAAGGGAACAGCUGGGGAGAGAGUUAUCUAUCAAUCCCGCUCUGCACCAGACGGAUGCCAAGAGGGAGUCGCUAAAUGCCUGGGAGAGAAUCGUGACCAGAGAGAGCAAUUCCCGGUACCAUAAGACAUCCAGCUUAAGAAGAAAUGUUUACAAAUCUUAUUCCGGUCAGUGGAAAUGAGAGCAACCCAUGGCCUUGUGGUUCUGUCUGUGCUUGGCUGAUGGAAGCAGGAGCCAGACAUGCCUUUCAGCCUGAAGACUGUGGCCUUCGAGCUCUGCUGAGUCAUUAUCUGGAUGUCUUAACUGAGAGUGACAAGGCACACAACUGCAAACUUGGCUUUGUACUGUAGGAAGAAUAAACAGCCGUGAAAACGACUUUUUCUUUUUUAA
rnacentral:lncRNA from 1 species